UACAGAGGGGGCAAGCGUUGUUCGGAAUUACUGGGCGUAAAGGGCGCGUAGGCGGCCUGCUAAGUCGAACGUGAAAUCCCUGGGCUCAACCCAGGAACUGCGUCCGAUACUGGUUGGCUUGAAUCCGGGAGAGGGAUGUGGAAUUCCUGGUGUAGCGGUGAAAUGCGCAGAUAUCAGGAAGAACACCCGUGGCGAAAGCGGCUCUCUAGAACGGUACUGACGCUGAGACGCGAAAGCGUGGGGAGCGAACAGG
rnacentral:rRNA from 1 species